UCUGAUUCUUUAGAAACCUGUUUCUCACUCUCCUUCCAACUCCAGCCUCGUGAGUGCUCCCUUUUGGCAGCUGAGGCCGGCACAGCUCUCGGCAACACAGCUUGUUGUUAGUGCAGAGGUUACUCCUUUUUUCUUUGACAGGAUACCCUUGAACUGCAUGCCAGAGAAGGGGGAUUUAAAAGCAUCCUUUUUCCUCUGUGCAGUUUUCACACCUGCUUUCCUGGAAGACUGAAGUUUGGCCUUUGGGGCUGGAAUGGAAGGGACCCGAUGGGCACCAGAGAUCUCCGUCUGUGUCGCGGUCCUCAGCUACCACCCAGAGCCCCGCAAGAAGGUGGGCUCCACAGGGAGACUUGCAUAACCUCCUCGGGGAGAUCAUGUCAGGUGGCCACAUCAUGGGGACUGCAGGCUCUGCUGGACCUGUCUGCAAGAAUUCCUCAGCCCAGUCCUGCUGAGAACUUUCACACGUGCCUAAAGCUCUUGAACAGGCCAUUUGUGGAGCUGGGCUAAGCUGGGAGAAGUGCCCCUUUCACCCCUGGCAGUGGGUUGAAGCCUCUGUUUUGGCUGAGAGCGAGAGGAACGGGCUGGUGUCUCCUUGGUCCCGAAGAAGUGGGAUUUCAUAUGUCAAAGAGCCACACUGAGAUGAAGGCAAUUGGAAGUAACUGCUCAGAAGAAGAUGCCCAAGAGUAAGUUGCCAUGGAGAUGGAAAGGCUAAACACCACUGUACUCCUGACCUCGAAAGAGGCUGAUUUCUCCACAUGACAGCUGAGGUCGUGGGGGCAUGGUGGGAAGCUCAUCCUGCCGGCUCCAGCUCUGCCUCUAGCCUAUGGAUAAGUAAAGAAUUACUGCUUUACUACUUUAGGUAGUCCAUUAACCUUCACAAGCCUGAACUUUCAUUCAAAUAAUUGCAAAAUAAGUAUAGGUGGUGAAACCUGAACAGAAUCACUGCUAUUUGUAUGCCCUUUGGAAAGUUUAGGGACCCAACCCUUAGUGUGGAUCCACUGGUAUUUUAAACAGUGAGGUAUCUUUCUUAGCUUCUUGCUGUAAUUGGAAAAAGUUAAAGCCCAGAAUUACCAGCAAAACCCAAAAACCAUUCAGUGACUGGCCACCAAAUGAAUGUAAACAAAAUGGUCCUUCAUCAGCAGUGGGGCUUUGUAUUCAGCGGGGAGAUUACCUUCUGUUUGUAACUUAUUACCUUAUGGUGAGUUCUUUUAGCUACAAAUCCAUUCCACAGG
rnacentral:lncRNA from 1 species